rnacentral:rRNA from 1 species
GACAUAGGUUGCGAGCGUUAUUCGGAAUUACUAGGCGUAAAGCGAGUGUAGGCGGGCGCUUAAGUCCGACGUGAAAAUCUCCCGGCUUAACUGGGAGGGGUCGUCGGAUACUGGGUGUCUUGAGUGGGGUAGGGGGCAGUGGAAUUCCCGGUGUAGCGGUGAAAUGCGCAGAUAUCAGAAGGAACACCAAUGGCGAAGGCAGCUCGCUGGAACGGUACUGACGCUGAGGCGCGAAAGCGUGGGGAGCAAACAGG